AAAAAGAGUUUGAUCCUGGCUCAGGAUGAACGCUGGCGGCGUGCCUAACACAUGCAAGUCGAGCGAGAAGCUUUUAACGGACGCUUCGGUUGAAGUUAAGAGUGGA
rnacentral:rRNA from 1 species